rnacentral:rRNA from 1 species
UACAGUGGUGGCAAGCGUUGUUCGGAAUUACUGGGCGUAAAGGGCGAGUAGGUGGCCAUCUAAGUCAGACGUGAAAUCCCCCGGCUUAACCUGGGAACUGCGUCUGAUACUGGACGGCUUGAGUAUGGGAGAGGAACGUAGAAUUCCAGGUGUAGCGGUGAAAUGCGUAGAUAUCUGGAGGAACACCGGUGGCGAAGGCGGCUCACUGGCCCGAUACUGACGCUGAGGCACGAAAGCGUGGGGAGCAAACAGG